rnacentral:rRNA from 1 species
AACGAACGCUGGCGGCGCGCCUAAUACAUGCAAGUCGAGCGAGAAGGUGUAGCAAUACACUUGUAAAGCGGCGAACGGGUGAGGAAUACAUGGGUAAUCUACCAUCGAGUGGGGAAUAACCAACCGAAAGGUUGGCUAAUACCGCGUACGCCUCCGAGUCUUCGGGUUCGGAGGGAAAGCUGCACUGUGAGUGUAGCGCUCUUUGAUGAGCUCAUGUCCUAUCAGCUUGUUGGUAGGGUAACGGCCUACCAAGGCUUUGACGGGUAGCUGGUCUGAGAGGACGAUCAGCCACACUGGCACUGCGACACGGGCCAGACUCCUACGGGAGGCAGCAGUAAGGAAUAUUGCGCAAUGGGCGAAAGCCUGACGCAGCGACGCCGCGUGGGGAUGAAGGUCUUCGGAUUGUAAACCCCUUUCGGGAGGGAAGAUGGAGCGAGCAAUCGUUCGGACGGUACCUCCAGAAGCAGCCACGGCCAACUUCGUGCCAGCA